CGCGCCCGCCGGCGGGCGCCGGACGGCGCGGAGUCGCGACCGACGCCAUAUUAAGGAGCGGGGAGCCCGGGAUACCGUCAGCGGCGACCGCGGCCGGACGCGGCGUAGCUGCGCUCAGCGGAGGCGGGCGCGGCGUGGCGCCGGGAGAGGCGGGGCCGGCGGAGCCAGCGGGCGACGGGAGCGAGCCAGCUCUCUCGAACUCACACAACAGAUUGUCAACCUAGCAGCGCAAAUUAACACUCUACAAGAACAAAUAAAUUCUCCAGCAGGAGUGGUUGUACAGAAUAGGAGAGCUGUAGCCUUACUGCUAACCAAGGUGGGACCGGUGCAAUGUUAAAGGAGGAUUGCUGUUUUAUUUGCUUAUUUAAAGAGAGGGAGAAAUGUGGUGCUCCAAGGACAAAGAAAAGAUAAACUCAGAAGGCCAACAUCGCCGGAACAGAGAGUUACGGGACUCAUCACUCUGUCACGUAGCAACCAUUCCGUCUUUGAGCCCUCCCAGCCAUUCUGCCCUGCUCCUUUCACGUCCCAUAUAAGGAAGGGUAUUUGUCCUGUUCUUCCCCCCACUCUGCACACUGGAAGUAUGCAUACCCUACCCAAUCAGCAGAUGACUCGCAAGUUCCUUUGUUCCCUGGCUAUAAAAAGAGACAAGUAACCCAUGCUCGGGGUCAGCUCUCCCUAUCAGAAAGUCAGCCCGCUGUUCUGGCAGCGACCCUUCAAUAAAUUCUUUUUUACAUUC